rnacentral:lncRNA from 1 species
UCUCCACCCAAGUGAAAUCUCUCGGGGAUACUUAACAUCCUACGAACAUCGUCGUCCGAUUUAACAGACUUCACAAAGAACCCCGAAACGAGGUUACUAACCCCGAUUCGAGGAUAUUUCACACUAAGCUUGACAUCCCAAUGAUGCCUACUUAUAUGCAUCAACCCGAACACCAUAUCUCGUAGUUCUUCAAGUGAGCUGCUCAAUUUCACAUACAUCAUUUCUUUCGGAUCUAAGGUGUAGAGAACAUCGUUAUCUUGUUUUAUGAUUUCACCUCCCCAGAAGAAAUUAACGUUUACGUAUCCGUCCAUCUUUGUUUUUGAAGUGUGUGUUUUUUUAUGAUUUUCGUGUUCGGCUAGGAUUUUCUCACAAGGCAGAUUGAUAAUAUGAGGGAGAGUUUGUAGUGUUUGUUUUUC